GAUGAACGCUAGCUACAGGCUUAACACAUGCAAGUCGAGGGGUUUCGAAGAGCUUGCUCCGAGAGACGACCGGCGCACGGGUGAGUAACGCGUAUCCAACCUGCCCUUCAUAUUGGGAUAGCCUUCCGAAAGGGAGAUUAAUACCGAAUAACAUGAGAAGAUUGCAUGAACCUCUCAUGAAAGCUCCGGCGAUGAAGGAUGGGGAUGCGUUCCAUUAGGUAGUAGGCGGGGUAAUGGCCCACCUAGCCGACGAUGGAUAGGGGUUCUGAGAGGAAGGUCCCCCACACUGGAACUGAGACACGGUCCAGACUCCUACGGGAGGCAGCAGUGAGGAAUAUUGGUCAAUGGGCGCAAGCCUGAGCCAGCCAAGUAGCGUGAAGGAUGACUGCCCUAUGGGUUGUAAACUUCUUUUAUACGGGAACAAACCUUGGUACGCGUACCAAAUUGCGUGUACCGUAUGAAUAAGCAUCGGCUAACUCCGUGCCAGCCGCCGCUGUAAAAC
rnacentral:rRNA from 1 species